CAAUAGCGUAUAUUAAAGUUGUUGCGGUUAAAAAGCUCGUAGUUGGAUUUCUGCUGAGAACGACCGGUCCGCCCUCUGGGUGUGUAUCUGGCUCUUUCUUGGCAUCUUCUUGGUGAACGUUGCUGCACUUGACUGUGUGGAGCGCUACCCAGGACUUUUACUUUGAGGAAAUUAGAGUGUUUCAAGCAGGCAUACGCCUUGAAUACAUUAGCAUGGAAUAAUAAGAUAGGACCUCGGUUCUAUUUUGUUGGUUUCUAGAGCUGAGGUAAUGAUUAAUAGGGAUAGUUGGGGGCAUUCGUAUUUAACUGUCAGAGGUGAAAUUCUUUGAUUUGUUAAAGACGGACUACUGCGAAAGCAUUUGCCAAGGAUGUUUUCAUUGA
rnacentral:rRNA from 1 species